UCUCCUAUACUAAGCCAGGUGCCUGCUUAUAUGUAUGUUUUUCUAGCAGAUGGAGAUGCCACCACUGAUAGCCAAAACCUUGGAAAAGGCCCAGAGAAGACCCUGCCCUGCCUGCCCAGGGUUCUUGCUGCCAAGACCCAAAACUGAGUGGUACUGACAGAAGCUAACCAGACGGCAUGGAGAGCCAGCAGGUCAACAGACUGGAAGGCAUGGACAGUGUGGACACUUCCUGAAUAGACACAAAGGUCUAUUUGGCAUGAGGCAGAAGUUGCCAAGCCCCACUCGGGGCUUCACGAGUGUUAGAGGAGAAUAUUCUGUCUGGCACUCAAAGGACACUCACUGCCUGUGGCUCUGAGGAUGAUGCUCCACCAUUAGGAAUUUUGUGUCUUGUUGCAACAAAUUCUGCUUCAUUCCAAGGUCUUAUAAUUCUUGGACAUACACCCAGGAUGCAACCCUGAUGUAGCAAGACAAAUUAACUGGGUGGAACUGAAAGGAAAAUGAAGGGAGACAUUGCCCAGAUGGCCACUAUUUUUUAAUUGUUUCAUUUUAAAAUAUUAAAUGACAUAUACAUUUUUAAAACUAUGUAAAAAAACAAUAAAGUUAGAAUGGAACUUGACUGUGAAAACCUU
rnacentral:lncRNA from 1 species